UACAGAGGGGGCGAGCGUUAUUCGGAAUUACUGGGCGUAAAGGGCGCGUAGGCGGCGAUCCGAGUCAGAUGUGAAAGUCCUGGGCUUAACCUGGGGACUGCAUUUGAUACUGGAUUGCUUGAAUUCGGGAGAGGAUAGCGGAAUUCCCAGUGUAGAGGUGAAAUUCGUAGAUAUUGGGAAGAACACCGGUGGCGAAGGCGGCUAUCUGGACCGACAUUGACGCUGAGGCGCGAAAGCGUGGGGAGCAAACAGG
rnacentral:rRNA from 1 species